AUGCGUUGUUGGGUAGGGGAGCGUUCUGUAAGCCUGCGAAGGUGUACUGUGAGGUAUGCUGGAGGUAUCAGAAGUGCGAAUGCUGACAUAAGUAACGAUAAAGCGGGUGAAAAGCCCGCUCGCCGGAAGACCAAGGGUUCCUGUCCAACGUUAAUCGGGGCAGGGUGAGUCGACCCCUAAGGCGAGGCCGAAAGGCGUAGUCGAUGGGAAACAGGUUAAUAUUCCUGUACUUGGUGUUACUGCGAAGGGGGGACGGAGAAGGCUAUGUUGGCCGGGCGACGGUUGUCCCGGUUUAAGCGUGUAGGCUGGUUUUCCAGGCAAAUCCGGAAAAUCAAGGCUGAGGCGUGAUGACGAGGCACUACGGUGCUGAAGCAACAAAUGCCCUGCUUCCAGGAAAAGCCUCUAAGCAUCAGGUAACAUCAAAUCGUACCCCAAACCGACACAGGUGGUCAGGUAGAGAAUACCAAGGCGCUUGAGAGAACUCGGGUGAAGGAACUAGGCAAAAUGGUGCCGUAACUUCGGGAGAAGGCACGCUGAUAUGUAGGUGAAGUCCCUCGCGGAUGGAGCUGAAAUCAGUCGAAGAUACCAGCUGGCUGCAACUGUUUAUUAAAAACACAGCACUGUGCAAACACGAAAGUGGACGUAUACGGUGUGACGCCUGCCCGGUGCCGGAAGGUUAAUUGAUGGGGUUAGCGCAAGCGAAGCUCUUGAUCGAAGCCCCGGUAAACGGCGGCCGUAACUAUAACGGUCCUAAGGUAGCGAAAUUCCUUGUCGGGUAAGUUCCGACCUGCACGAAUGGCGUAAUGAUGGCCAGGCUGUCUCCACCCGAGACUCAGUGAAAUUGAACUCGCUGUGAAGAUGCAGUGUACCCGCGGCAAGACGGAAAGACCCCGUGAACCUUUACUAUAGCUUGACACUGAACAUUGAGCCUUGAUGUGUAGGAUAGGUGGGAGGCUUUGAAGUGUGGACGCCAGUCUGCAUGGAGCCGACCUUGAAAUACCACCCUUUAAUGUUUGAUGUUCUAACGUGGACCCGUGAUCCGGGUUGCGGACAGUGUCUGGUGGGUAGUUUGACUGGGGCGGUCUCCUCCUAAAGAGUAACGGAGGAGCACGAAGGUUGGCUAAUCCUGGUCGGACAUCAGGAGGUUAGUGCAAUGGCAUAAGCCAGCUUGACUGCGAGCGUGACGGCGCGAGCAGGUGCGAAAGCAGGUCAUAGUGAUCCGGUGGUUCUGAAUGGAAGGGCCAUCGCUCAACGGAUAAAAGGUACUCCGGGGAUAACAGGCUGAUACCGCCCAAGAGUUCAUAUCGACGGCGGUGUUUGGCACCUCGAUGUCGGCUCAUCACAUCCUGGGGCUGAAGUAGGUCCCAAGGGUAUGGCUGUUCGCCAUUUAAAGUGGUACGCGAGCUGGGUUUAGAACGUCGUGAGACAGUUCGGUCCCUA
rnacentral:rRNA from 1 species